CGAGUUGGCAAGGCGAUCGCGGGCCGGUAAGGCCUGAGGAAAGUCCGAGCUGCGCAGAGCAGGGUGCUGGAUAACGUCCAGUGGGGGAAACCCUAAGGAAAGUGCCACAGAAAACAAACCGCCGGUCUCUGGCCGGUAAGGAUGAAACGGUGCGGUAAAAGCGCACCAGAGGCCAGGUGACUGGUCUGCUUGGUAAACCCCACCCGCAGCAAGACCGAAUAGGGGAAGGAUGAGGUUGCUCGCCGACUUCCCGGGUUGGUCGCUUGAGGUGUCAGGCAACUGGCAUCCCAGAUAAAUGAUCGCCCUCGACAGAACUCGGCUUACACGCCAUCUCGCGGC
rnacentral:RNase_P_RNA from 1 species